GAUUUGUCAAAGCAUAUCUUUGAGUUUGAUGAUGAAUUUAUCUUCAGCCUAAAGGAGUCCGAUGAACCAUUGGCUGUUGUUAGUCCAGAGGAACCCACACAGCCACUUCAUACAUCAACACCAAAGAAACCCAUACAUACAAGUAAAACAGGAAAAGGCAGACCAGUUCGGAG